GUUUUAUGGGACAUCCGAUAAAACUGAAAUGAUACAUUGAAGAUUAGCAUAGCGCCUGUGCAAGGAUGACACGCAUAAAUCGAGAAAUGGUCUAAAUUUUU